ensembl:lncRNA
AUGGGGAACACGUGGAGAAAGGAGACGUGCUCCUUUCAAGGGGCGUUGGCAGCAGGACACUGGCCCUGCCUAUGGGACAGGAGUGGUGAGGGGCACAGUCCGCUCCUCUCAGGGCUGGAGGCUCUGAAGGCCCGUGCAUUCCCUCCAUUUCCUGGGAAGUCUGCAAAGCACAGCCGCCGUGCUGUCUCUCAGAGGGAGAACCUCCUCUUAGAGCUUCCUUGUCUCUGCUGAUUGCAGCUCCCCAACUGUCUCCUAGAUUUCAGGAUAAAAGCUAAAUGGAGAAAAAGGGCAGGUGGAUUUCUGUAUUCCAGGAAAGAGAUGCAAUCAGUGGUCCUGAAAGCACAUAAGCACUUCCACUUGAGCUCUGAGGGGCAUUCAGCAAUGAGCAGCAGGCCAAGGUUCUGUCCAAGNNNNNNNNNNNNNNNNNNNNNNNNNNNNNNNNNNNNNNNNNNNNNNNNNNNNNNNNNNNNNNNNNNNNNNNNNNNNNNNNNNNNNNNNNNNNNNNNNNNGGGCAUUCAGCAAUGAGCAGCAGGCCAAGGUUCUGUCCAAGGCAGAAACCCUAGACUUGACGCCCUGCCUGGCACACGGCACACACUCACGAUCGUGAACGUUGAAGGUCACCAUUUUAUGGGAGGUUAUUUGUCAUGAAAUGUUGGGAUAUUGGGGGAUUGUUUGGUGGUUUACUUCUCUCCCCCAGCACUUUACUAUGAAAUUUCUCAAAAAUGGAGAAUUAUUGAAAAAAUUUUACAGUGGUCACUACCUAGAAUUCACAAAUAGCAUUUGGUUGCAUUUGCUUUAUCACUUAAGAGUGCUACUUUUAAUGAGACGUUCAAGUUUCGUUUCUCUUAAAAUUGCACUGCUAAAAUAAUUAAACAGCUUUAAGCGAGUUGUUUUAAACUCUGGGGAAAUGUGAUAUUUGCAUUAUAGCUGGAAUUAUAGUCCUUACUUUACACUAGUUUUAAACGUGUAAAUCUGUCCUGUUGAAUUUCAGACUUAAUUAUUUUGCCUGAAGGAAUGUUUUUUUAUAACAAUUAUUUUAAAGUCCUUGAUCAGUUGUACAGAAUAUUCUGAUGUUGUUUUCACACUUGAUAAAUUAUCUAAUUAAUUUUUCUGGUGAGAGUGUACCUGGGGCUCAUUUUGCUUAAAGUUUCAGGAUAGUGUUCCCCAGAGGGCCUGAAGAAGCAGGGUAAUUUAGCAUAUAAACCACUAAAUUAGGAGCUAAGAGAUUUAGAUUUUACCCCUGACUGACUAUGGACAAAUCACUUCUCUUUAUCUUUGUGUCAGUUUAUCUCCUUGUAAAGUGGGGACUAGAAUUUGAUAUUUAGGUUUUAAUAAGUAAUAGGUAACAUUUAUUAAUGCUUGGACCAGUUAGGAAAGACUUUUUAAAAAAGAAAAAAAAAAAAUACACGAUGCAUCCAAGGAGGUUCUCAUAAUUAUCUAACUGUAUGACAAGCUUCGGAAUGAACUCUGAUUUGAAAAAUUGCAGCAUGGGCCAUGGUCAAAAGUAUCUUAUCAAAAUCCUGCUGUUGCUUAGAACUUGCUGUUGCCGCAGAAUUUGUGAGUGGUUUCCCCAAUCCAGCUGGACUGUGAAAAUUAUGUAUUUUGUGAGAGGGUGAAUGGGAGGCCAUUUCCUCCUCUAGAAAAUCUUCCUGACCCAGGGAUCGAAUCCUCGUCUCCUGUGUCUCCUACACUGCUUUUGGAUUCUUUACCACUGAUCCAUCAGGGAAGCCCUAAAGAUGGGAGGAGGCGGACAUUAAUCACAGCAAGAUUGAAAAUCAAUGUCGAGUUGAAGAACAGGUUGUACGGAAGGGCGGGGCUUAAAGGAGUCAUCCUGAUUCAGUGCCACACACAUUCCACUGCUCCCCAGUCGACCCACACAACGCGGAACACCAGCCCUGCUCCUGCCAGCCCAACCUCAGGAGGUCUCCGUCAGGUCAAUACAAUUGAAUUACAGGAUCGACCAGGGGCUAAGCAGGGUCUCUCUGCUCCAUUUAGCAGAUGAGUGUGCCCCGUCCUUUCUAUUAAUAAACCCAGGUAAUGAAUGUAGAUUCACAUUUAUCUUGCAAAGUCUCUUGGGGUUUUUGCCUUAGAUCACAUCUUAGUAGUGAUUGCAAAGGUUUGACCAAAACCAUGCUCCUUGAUUGGCAUCCUCAGUCAGUCAGUUCAGUUGCUCAGUUGUGUCCGACUCUUUGCUACCCAUGGACUCCUGUCACUCAAAUUCAUGUCCAUUGAGUCAGUGAUGCCAUCCAACUAUCUCAUCC